rnacentral:rRNA from 1 species
UGGCUCAGAUUGAACGCUGGCGGCAGGCCUAACACAUGCAAGUCGAGCGGAAACGAGUUAUCUGAACCUUCGGGGAACGAUAACGGCGUCGAGCGGCGGACGGGUGAGUAAUGCCUAGGAAAUUGCCUUGAUGUGGGGGAUAACCAUUGGAAACGAUGGCUAAUACCGCAUAAUGCCUACGGGCCAAAGAGGGGGACCUUCGGGCCUCUCGCGUCAAGAUAUGCCUAGGUGGGAUUAGCUAGUUGGUGAGGUAAUGGCUCACCAAGGCGACGAUCCCUAGCUGGUCUGAGAGGAUGAUCAGCCACACUGGAACUGAGACACGGUCCAGACUCCUACGGGAGGCAGCAGUGGGGAAUAUUGCACAAUGGGCGCAAGCCUGAUGCAGCCAUGCCGCGUGUAUGAAGAAGGCCUUCGGGUUGUAAAGUACUUUCAGCAGUGAGGAAGGGGGUGUCGUUAAUAGCGGCAUUUCUUGACGUUAGCUGCAGAAGAAGCACCGGCUAACUCCGUGCCAGCAGCCGCGGUAAUACGGAGGGUGCGAGCGUUAAUCGGAAUUACUGGGCGUAAAGCGCAUGCAGGUGGUUUGUUAAGUCAGAUGUGAAAGCCCGGGGCUCAACCUCGGAACUGCAUUUGAAACUGGCAAACUAGAGUACUGUAGAGGGGGUAGA